rnacentral:rRNA from 1 species
CUUGGUCAUUUAGAGGAAGUAAAAGUCGUAACAAGGUUUCCGUAGGUGAACCUGCGGAAGGAUCAUUAAAGAAUUGCCCUGUUUUUUCGAAAGCAGGUCCUAUUUCUAAACCGUGUUUACAUACCUUUGUUGCUUUGGCGGGCCGCCGUCUCGGCGUUGGCUCCGGCUGACUGUGCCCGCCAGAGGACCCAAACUCGUUUGUCUAGUGAUGUCUGAGUACUAUAUAAUAGUUAAAACUUUCAACAGCGGAUCUCUUGGUUCUGGCAUCGAUGAAGAACGCAGCGAAAUGCGAUAAGUAAUGUGAAUUGCAGAAUUCAGUGAAUCAUCGAAUCUUUGAACGCACAUUGCGCCCCUUGGUAUUCCGAGGGGCAUGCCUGUUCGAGCGUCAUUAUAACCACUCAAGCCUUGGCUUGGUCUUGGGGUUCGCGGUCUCGCGGCCCUUAAAACUAGUGGCGGUGCCAUCUGGCUCUAAGCGUAGUAAUUCUCUCGCUACAGAGUCCGGGUGGUGACUUGCCAAAACCCCUAACUCUUAUGGUUGACCUCGGAUCAGGUAGGGAUACCCGCUGAACUUAAGCAUAUCAAUAAGCGGAGGA